rnacentral:rRNA from 1 species
CCUACGGGAGGCAGCAGUGAGGAAUAUUCCACAAUGGGGGAAACCCUGAUGGAGCGAUGCCGCGUGCAGGAAGACGCUUUUCGGAGUGUAAACUGCUUUUAACAAGGAAGAUUAUGACGGUACUUGUAGAAUAAGGACCGGCUAACUACGUGCCAGCAGCCGCGGUAAUACGUAGGGUCCAAGCGUUAUUCGGAAUUACUGGGCGUAAAGCGUUCGUAGGCGGUUUGAUAAGUUGGAUGUGAAAUCCUGUGGCUCAACCACAUGGACUGUGUCCAAAACUAUCUGACUAGAGCAUAGUAGAGGCAAGUGGAAUUUGCGGUGUAGGAGUGACAUCCGUAGAUAUCGCAAGGAACACCAAUGGCGAAGGCAGCUUGCUGGGCUAUUGCUGACGCUCAGGAACGAAAGCGUGGGGAGCGAACGGGGAUUAGAUACCCCGGUAGUCCACGCCGUAAACGAUGAUCACUAGCAGUAUGGAGAUUCCGACCCUCUGUGUUGCCACGGUCUAACGCGUUAAGUGUAGUCCGCCGUCGGGAGGUACGGGCGGCGACGACGUUAAACGUUAAACGGUAAAGUUAGUACGGUCGUGAGACGUCGCCGACGGACGACGACGAGGGAGGAGG